AAUUAAGUUGAUUAAAUUCCAUGACAGAUAGAAUUUCUCGAUUAGAAAAGGAACGAUCCGUAUAGUCAUCGGAAAAACGAAAUUUUGAUUCUUCCUUGCAAACACAAAAACGAGACUCAUAUGAAGGAUUACCUACGUAUCUUCUUCAUUGUCAGCGUUCGGCACGCAACAUCCAUGUAUAAGUAGAUAUGAAGAUAAUAGAGAUAAGAUAUAUAUGAAAGUAAACCCUCCGUUGAUGAAAUCUUAAUACGUUUCAAAGUUGCCGUCAUUUAUUGUUGAAAACUUGAAACAGUGAAAGUGAAAAUGUUCCGGCAUAUCUUUCACUAGGGCAUCUUUUCGCUUCUACAACAGGGAAUUGGGUAUGAUAACCACGUUAUGUGCAACGGACUUCCAGUUCAGUAACGUCUCACAAGCAACUAUAUGUAUAUCUUAGUUUUGUCUGUCGUUCUAGUCCUUCGACGUCGAUGCUUCUGCCAAGUGUUGAAAAUUACCUUAUGUGGAAAAGUGUAAACCUCAAUCAAGAUGGGAAACCUGAUGUACCGCGAGACUUUUGGAUAAUCGCUGCUCGUUCUUGUGACGCCAAACAACCGCUUUGUUUCUGGAAAAUCUAAAAAUGGAGUUGUAAAAUUAGCGUAUGAUCGUUCCUGCAUCAAAUGGGGGCAUGCGAUUAACAGUAAGAUCCAAUUAAACAAAACGCUUUAAGGUACGAACAAAAGACUAGCGGAAGAUGGCUUAGUUGACAUAUUUAUAAUAAAUGCUGGAAAAGGAAAUUACAUGAUGAUUGAAGUGAAUGUUUCCAUGGGUACGUACCAUUGUUGAAGGUGAUGGAAAGAACUUACCAAUCAUGGCUCACCCACCUUUGAAAACUUCUGACCUGAGUCUGGAAGAAUUCAUCGACACAAUUAUAAGAAGCGGUACAAGUAAAGAAAUCAAACUUGAUUUCUAAGAUACAGAAGCUGUCCAUCCUUCUUUAGAGAUAAUCAAAUCUAGGAAUACCAAGUUGGCAGCAUUUUCAAGUUAUUUGUAAGCUGAAUUAUGUCAGCACAAUUUUUAAAAAAGAUUAGCAAACCCCUUUGGCUGAACGCGGACAUUCUGCCAGGACCUGUGAACGACACUACGGAGCCAAUUAGUGAAAUAAUUUCAGCAUUCAAUAUUUCUUAUUACUACUAAUAGGUGAGUUCUAUUUUGAUUACAGAUGCUGGGGUGUUUCUGAAUUUGGCAAACACCUGUUAGAGUAUGAGCAGCCACAUUAAUCAUACAUCUAGCCAUUACAUGAAUACACUUAACAUGUUUAUCAAGAUUACUUACUUCCUUUUAUUCAGUAAAAGACUCCAAUAUAAGACACACACUUCAGAGCCUGUUCAGAAGGAAGUCAAUACUUAAGUCCUAAUAGCUUAGGCAAAACGUCACACACACGUAUCUGUCGUCGAGCAAACAAUCUGAGGUUUCAACAACCCCGUGCACUUGAACAGCUGGCGAUAGGCUGAAUGGGUAAAGAGAAAUUUUGACGAGGUUUAAGGAGUUUGAAAAUAGCGUUAUUUAUGCUUCUGUGUAAUAUUCGUGCUAUUUUUUGUGAAGGCUUCGAAGCACAAAGGGAAAAGUAAUAAUAUAAAAACUGAAUCGGUCCAUUUUUGGCCGGAAAAACGCAGAUAAAUGUGACCAAAGGUAUCUUACUUGUUGGAAGAUGAAAUGAAGACACUAGCCUAGUACCCAGCAGAAAAAAAUUUACUCCACUAUACUCACUUCAACAUGAAGUAGUGUCUAGUAUUCUGCAGUAAGCUCAAGCUCGAAGAAUAUUUUUUACCUAUCUAGGAGAAAUUAGUAGAAUUAUAAAUGGUGUAUCUGUGUAAUCUAGUGGUUUUUCAGUGCCAAUCAAUUAAUACAGUGUUAAU